rnacentral:rRNA from 1 species
CCUACGGGAGGCAUCAGUGAGGAAUAUUGGUCAAUGGUCAGGAGACUGAACCAGCCAAGCCGCGUGAGGGAUGAAGGUACAGAGUAUCGUACACCUCUUUUGUCAGGGAACAAAGGCGGGGACGUGUCCGCGGAUGAGUGUACCUGAAGAAAAAGCAUCGGCUAACUGCGUGCCAGCAGCCGCGGUAAUACGGGGGAUGCGAGCGUUAUCCGGCUUUAUUGGGGUUAAGGGGUGAGCAGGCGCUCUGUUAAGGCAGCGGUCAAAGCCCGGGGCUCAACCCCUGCCCGCCGUUGAAACUGGCAGUCUCGAGUUGGAGAGAAGUAUGCUGAAUGCGCGGUGUAGCGGUGAAAUGCAUAGAUAUCGCGCAGAACUCCGAUUGCGAAGGCAGCAUGCCGGCUCCACACUGACGCUGAGGCACGAAAGCGUGGGUAUCGAACAGGAUUAGAUACCCUUGUAGUC